AACGAACGCUGGCGGCGCGCCUAACACAUGCAAGUCGAACGAGAAUCCGGGGCAACCCGGUAGUAAAGUGGCAAACGGGUGAGGAAUACAUGGGUAACCUACCCUUGAGAAGGGAAUAACCCGCCGAAAGGUGAGCUAAUACCCUAUACGCUAUCUUUUUUUCGAAAGGAAUAGGAAAGACCGGGUCGAGGACCUGGUACUCAAGGAGGGGCGUCAUGUCCUAUCAGCUUGUUGGUGGGGUAACGGGCCUACCAAGGCUACGACGGGUAGGCUGGUCUGAGAGGAUGAUCAGCCACACUGGCACUGAGAUACGGGCCAGACUCCUACGGGAGGCAGCAGUGAGGAAUAUUGCGCAAUGGGCGAAAGCCUGACGCAGCGACGCCGCGUGGGGGAGUGAAGGUUUU
rnacentral:rRNA from 1 species